AAUUACUAAAAAUUAUUUUUAUCAUUAUUUGUAAUAAUAAUUAUAAGGUACUGAAAUAUUUUUUGAUUGCAAAUAAAUUUGUUGUGAUUUAAUAUAUUUUAGUAAUGGAAAAGAUAUAUAGUGCUCCCAAGAUAUAAUGCAAUCAUUUAUAUGCAAAUUUGGAUAUACUACAGGUUUUUCCUGUUCUCCAUCUCUUUAAAAGAGAUUCUGAGGCAGUUGGUUAUAGCACAGUUGUCUUAUGUGUCAGAUCCAUAUCCUACAAACUUGCAUUAUAACUGGGAAAUAGUGUAUUUUAUCCUGUUUGCCGCUGGCCAUUUCAAGUACUGCCUGCAGUGUCAAGCUAGAGGCAUUGUAUAAUUAAGCCUAAUUGAUAUUCAGAAAUUUAUAAAACUUCAUUUCUCUCAUAUUUUUCAUCAAAAAAACUAAAAUUUUACUGUUUUUGCAGUUUCUAUGCUCCUUUUUAUCUUUACA
rnacentral:lncRNA from 1 species